GACGAACGCUGGCGGCGUGCCUAAUACAUGCAAGUCGAGCGGACAGAUGGGAGCUUGCUCCCUGAUGUUAGCGGCGGACGGGUGAGUAACACGUGGGUAACCUGCCUGUAAGACUGGGAUAACUCCGGGAAACCGGGGCUAAUACCGGAUGCUUGUUUGAACCGCAUGGUUCAGACAUAAAAGGUGGCUUCGGCUACCACUUACAGAUGGACCCGCGGCGCAUUAGCUAGUUGGUGAGGUAACGGCUCACCAAGGCGACGAUGCGUAGCCGACCUGAGAGGGUGAUCGGCCACACUGGGACUGAGACACGGCCCAGACUCCUACGGGAGGCAGCAGUAGGGAAUCUUCCGCAAUGGACGAAAGUCUGACGGAGCAACGCCGCGUGAGUGAUGAAGGUUUUCGGAUCGUAAAGCUCUGUUGUUAGGGAAGAACAAGUGCCGUUCAAAUAGGGCGGCACCUUGACGGUACCUAACCAGAAAGCCACGGCUAACUACGUGCCAGCAGCCGCGGUAAUACGUAGGUGGCAAGCGUUGUCCGGAAUUAUUGGGCGUAAAGGGCUCGCAGGCGGUUUCUUAAGUCUGAUGUGAAAGCCCCCGGCUCAACCGGGGAGGGUCAUUGGAAACUGGGGAACUUGAGUGCAGAAGAGGAGAGUGGAAUUCCACGUGUAGCGGUGAAAUGCGUAGAGAUGUGGAGGAACACCAGUGGCGAAGGCGACUCUCUGGUCUGUAACUGACGCUGAGGAGCGAAAGCGUGGGGAGCGAACAGGAUUAGAUACCCUGGUAGUCCACGCCGUAAACGAUGAGUGCUAAGUGUUAGGGGGUUUCCGCCCCUUAGUGCUGCAGCUAACGCAUUAAGCACUCCGCCUGGGGAGUACGGUCGCAAGACUGAAACUCAAAGGAAUUGACGGGGGCCCGCACAAGCGGUGGAGCAUGUGGUUUAAUUCGAAGCAACGCGAAGAACCUUACCAGGUCUUGACAUCCUCUGACAAUCCUAGAGAUAGGACGUCCCCUUCGGGGGCAGAGUGACAGGUGGUGCAUGGUUGUCGUCAGCUCGUGUCGUGAGAUGUUGGGUUAAGUCCCGCAACGAGCGCAACCCUUGAUCUUAGUUGCCAGCAUUCAGUUGGGCACUCUAAGGUGACUGCCGGUGACAAACCGGAGGAAGGUGGGGAUGACGUCAAAUCAUCAUGCCCCUUAUGACCUGGGCUACACACGUGCUACAAUGGGCAGAACAAAGGGCAGCGAAACCGCGAGGUUAAGCCAAUCCCACAAAUCUGUUCUCAGUUCGGAUCGCAGUCUGCAACUCGACUGCGUGAAGCUGGAAUCGCUAGUAA
rnacentral:rRNA from 1 species